GGGGAUUUAGCUCAGUGGUAGAGCACUUGCCUAGCAAGCACAAGACCCUGGGUUCCAUCCCCAGCUCCA
rnacentral:tRNA from 1 species